rnacentral:rRNA from 1 species
GUAGGGAAUCUUCCACAAUGGACGAAAGUCUGAUGGAGCAACGCCGCGUGAACGAUGAAGGCUUUCGGGUCGUAAAGUUCUGUUGUAAGGGAAGAACAAGUGCCGCAGGCAAUGGCGGCACCUUGACGGUACCUUGCGAGAAAGCCACGGCUAACUACGCGCCAGCAGCCGCGGUAAUACGUAGGUGGCAAGCGUUGUCCGGAAUUAUUGGGCGUAAAGCGCGCGCAGGCGGCCUCUCAAGUCUGAUGUGAAAGCCCCCGGCUCAACCGGGGAGGGCCAUUGGAAACUGGGAGGCUUGAGUAUAGGAGAGAAGAGUGGAAUUCCAUGUGUAGCGGUGAAAUGCGUAGAGAUGUGGAGGAACACCAGUGGCGAAGGCGACUCUCUGGACUGUAACUGACGCUGAGGCUCGAAAGCGUGGGGAGCAAACAGGAUUAGAUACCCGUGUAGUCC